rnacentral:rRNA from 1 species
UUAAACUGAAGAGUUUGAUCAUGGCUCAGAUUGAACGCUGGCGGCAGGCUUAACACAUGCAAGUCGAGCGGAUGAAGGGAGCUUGCUCCUGGAUUCAGCGGCGGACGGGUGAGUAAUGCUUAGGAAUCUGCCUAUUAGUGGGGGACAACAGUUGGAAACGACUGCUAAUACCGCAUACGCCCUACGGGGGAAAGGAGGGGAUCUUCGGACCUUUCGCUAAUAGAUGAGCCUAAGUCA